rnacentral:rRNA from 1 species
UACGAAGGGGGCUAGCGUUGCUCGGAAUUACUGGGCGUAAAGCGCACGUAGGCGGUCUUUUAAGUCGGGGGUGAAAUCCUGGAGCUCAACUCCAGAACUGCCUUCGAUACUGGAAGACUUGAGUCCGGGAGAGGUGAGUGGAACUGGCGAGUGUAGAGGUGAAAUUCGUAGAUAUUCGCAAGAACACCAGUGGCGAAGGCGGCUCACUGGCCCGGUACUGACGCUGAGGUGCGAAAGCGUGGGGAGCAAACAGGGAUUAAGAAACCCCAGUACGUCAC